AGCAGCCGCGGUAAUUCCAGCUCCAAUAGCGUAUAUUAAAGUUGUUGCAGUUAAAAAGCUCGUAGUUGAAUUUCGGAAUCGACGGAUUGGUCGCGCCUUCGGUGUGUACUGGUCUUGCCGGUUUCUCCCUUCUGACGAACCACGAUGUCAUUAAUUUGGUGUCGCGGGGAAUCAGGACUGUUACUUUGAAAAAAUUAGAGUGUUUAAAGCAGGCAUUAGCUUGAAUACAUUAGCAUGGAAUAAUGAAAUAGGACGUUUGAUCUUAUUUUGUUGGUUUCUAGGAUCGACGUAAUGAUUAAUAGGGAUAGUUAGGGGCAUUAGUAUUCAAUUGUCAGAGGUGAAAUUCUUGGAUUUAUUGAAGACUAACUACUGCGAAAGCAUUUGCCAAGGAUGUUUUCAUUAAUCAAGAACGAAAGUUAGGGGAUCGAAGACGAUCAGAUACCGUCGUAGUCUUAACCAUAAACUAUGCCGACUAGGGAUCGGAUGAUGUUAAUUUUUAAUGACUCAUUCGGCGCCUUAC
rnacentral:rRNA from 1 species